rnacentral:rRNA from 1 species
GGAGUCUGGGCCGUGUCUCAGUCCCAAUGUGGCCGUUCACUCUCUCAAGCCGGCUACUGAUCGUCGCCUUGGUAAGCCGUUACCUUACCAACUAGCUAAUCAGACGCGGGUCCAUCUCAUAGCGCAAUAGCUUUGAUGUGUCUGUCAUGUGACAGUCACAUGUUAUGCGGUAUUAGCAGUCGUUUCCAACUGUUGUCCCCCUCUAUGAGGCAGGUUACCCACGCGUUACUCACCCGUCCGCCACUAAGUCAUCUCAAAUGAAUCAAUCUGUAGCAAGCUACUUCAAUCUUCGGGAGAGAUGCUUCGUUCGACUUGCAUGUGUUAAGCACGCCGCCAGCGUUCAUC